CGCUGUCGUACCUUGGUCGUACCCGUCGUACCAAAACAACGUGACAUGUGUUUCCUUAACCUCUCUUUUGACUGAUUGAUACAUAAUCCCACCACGUCUUUAUUAUUACUUCAAUAAUCGAUUCACAACAAUGGGCAAAAAUAAGAAAACCAGGAAAGUCGUGAUGCAGAGAUUCGCACAGAUGAAGAAAAUGAUAAGUCCCAGCGAUUCGAGAAUAAAAGAAGAAAAACGAGCACCACCCAAGAAAAAAAAGCCUGAAGAUCCCACUGAGUUAAAAGUCAAAGAAGUUCCCCAACUCUCGUCCGCUCUGUUCUUUCAGUACAACACUCAACUAGGCCCUCCUUAUCACAUUCUUAUCGAUACGAAUUUCAUUAAUUUUUCGAUAAAAAACAAAUUGGAUAUUAUACAAAACAUGAUGGAGUGCUUGUAUGCCAAAUGUAUUCCUUACAUCACUGACUGCGUCAUGGGAGAAAUGGAGAAACUCGGACAAAAGUAUAAAAUUGCAUUGAAGAUUAUCAAAGAUCCCCGCUUUGAGAGAAUUCACUGUAUGCACAAAGGAACCUAUGCCGACGACUGUCUCGUCAAUAGAGUUACCCAGCACAAAUGUUACAUCGUAGCGACAAACGACAAGGAUCUUAAGAGACGAAUAAGGAAAAUACCGGGUGUACCGAUAAUGUAUGUCUCUCAGCAUCGCUAUACCAUUGAAAGAAUGCCCGACGCUUAUGGGGCACCUAAAACUUAAUAAUAGCAUUUCUGCGAGUCGCCACCCCAAGCUUACUUCGACGAUUACCGAGAGGGUCCCCGGAGCUUAUUGUUUUAUUUGAAACAGUAACUUUUCGUCCAAAAACAUUCUGCGAGUAUCUCAUUCGUUGCCCAGAGAAUCUGUGGCGAAACCCGGUCGAUACAAGCCUCUACAUUUCUACUGAACUCCGAUUGGUUACGCCAUAAAAAACUCAGAACUAUCAACCGCUUACAGUUUUUGAAAUAAGUUUUUCAAAAAAUGUCCAUUUUGUCAAAGACACGACUUUGUUCAGCGCUCGUAUACAGUGAAAAAUCAUGAAUUUCCCCUAA